GCUCUCUCUGAGACGGCAGUACGUAUACUAAAAUUGGAACAAUACAGAGAAGAUUAGCAUGGCCCCGGCGCAAGGAUGACACGCAAAUUCGUUGAAGCGUUCCUCUCUCUC